AGUGAACGCUGGCGGUAGGCCUAACACAUGCAAGUCGAACGGCAGCACAGUAAGAGCUUGCUCUUACGGGUGGCGAGUGGCGGACGGGUGAGGAAUACAUCGGAAUCUACUUUUUCGUGGGGGAUAACGUAGGGAAACUUACGCUAAUACCGCAUACGACCUACGGGUGAAAGCAGGGGAUCUUCGGACCUUGCGCGAUUGAAUAAGCCGAUGUCGGAUUAGCUAGUUGGCGGGGGAAAGGCCCACCAAGGCGACGAUCCGUAGCUGGUCUGAGAGGAUGACCGGCCACACUGGAACUGAGACACGGUCCAGACUCCUCCGGGAGGCGGCGGUGGGGAAUAUUGGACAAUGGGCGCAAGCCUGAUCCAGCCAUACCGCGUAGGUGAAGAAGGCCUUCGGGUUUUAAAGCCCUUUUGUUGGGAAAGAAAAGCAGCAGGUUAAUACCCCGCUGUUCUGACGGUACCCAAAGAAUAAGCACCGGCUAACUUCGUG
rnacentral:rRNA from 1 species